rnacentral:rRNA from 1 species
UUGCGGGCGACGUGGGCGGUUCGCUGCCSGCGACGUUGUGAGAAGUCCACUGAACCUUAUCAUUUAGAGGAAGGAGAAGUCGUAACAAGGUUUCCGUAGGUGAACCUGCGGAAGGAUCAUUG